UGUAAUUAUUGGAGUUAGGAUAAGCAAUUCAAUUUAUUUUAUCGAUAUUCAGUAUUUGGGUCAAUAUUCGGACUUUAUCCCGUUCCGACAGAUGGUGAUUCUGCGCUUUUGCACCAGUGGCCUCACAGCUAAUUACACUCCCCCGAAACCAUGGUCUACAUACAAAACAACUAUAUAAUCAAGUAGGUGUAAUGGUAAGCAGAUUAGCUCUGUAUUGAGUGAUUACGAUCAGUGCGGAUCAUGUCAAUUCAGCUGACUUUCUACAGUCACCACCUGGGAUCUCUAGACGGCUGAGGAGGACAGGCUGUGUGUCUGAGCGCUUGGGAACUUGACUAUGUACAUUACCUUAUUGAUGCCAGUGUAGAGGUGCUAUGGCGGAACACUGACUUGAUUGCUCAGAGCUUGGGAAUCACUCCCUAUGAGAGAAUGACAGUUAUAAUGAUAGACUGCUGUCAAUUGAGUGCUGCUUUUAAGUAUAGAUAUUGAGCGCAGCUGGAAUUUCUACCACACAAAAUCCGUUAUCUUAUGGCCAUAACGAUUCAAGUUUGAAGCGCUGGCUCUUGAGACAACGGGAUUGUGAUGAAACUGACAUUCAAAUAGUAUGAGCAGUAUCGACAAGAUCAUUGAGAUAGAUGGAUUUAAUGAGAGCAAUUUACUAACCAUUACAUCUACUUGAUUUUGGGGCUAUUUUAUAUAUAAAUCAUGGUAUAGCCUAUACCAGAUAUGUCUAGAGGGAGUGUAAUUCGCAAUUCCCUGAAAAUUUGUAUGGGUUACCCCUUUAUUUUCUUGGAAUAUUCAUGCUAAUGGUCAAAUACACCGCACUCGCAACAAGAAGCGAAACAAACAGCCAAGCGAUUUACGGAUUAGAAGAAAGAGAGAGAGAGGAAAGGGUUUAACCAAUAUCAUCCAUGACCACAUAGCAUUUUUAAAAUGGGUGGUAAUACCACGUGAACAAGGCGAUCUUUGGAAAGGUAUCACGUUCUCUCUCCGUCAACAGCAGGCCUAGGGAUAGCGCCGCCAGGAGAGUCCGGCAAUCUCGCUGUAAGCACUUCAACACCAUCCUCCGUCACUAGCAACGUGUGUUCGAAUUGAGCGGACUGGAGUCCAUCCGCAGUAACGCUAGUCCAGUUAUCCGGCCAAGUCUUGUCUCGACAUUCUCUUGCAGUUUCUACCACCCGAACAAGGUCUGGGUUUGCGCGGGCCUUUUCUCCGACGUAGUAAGUCUCGUUCAGGUCGCCAUGGAAACCCUCAUGGUAGAGUGUGACGUCAAUAUUUACAAUAUCCCCAUCCUCCAAUGGCCGUUGGUCAGGAAUGCCGUGGCAGAUAACCUCAUUGACGGACGUGCAGACGGACUUGGGGAAAUGGACAUAGUUAAGUGGCGACGGGUAGGACUAGAUUGUUUAUCAGCUGAGCACACAUGUUAAGGGAACGAAAAUAUUUUUCUCCCGCCGACCUUUCGUUCUAAGCAAGCCCGAUGGACAACCUCAUCAAUGUGGUCGGUCGUAACACCAGGUUUGAUUUCGCGCGCAGCGAUAUCCAGCACUUCUCGCGCCAGACGGCAUACUUUCCUCAUUCCGUCCUGCUCCUUCGGACUGAGUAUUGUAAUGUUAUGUCGACCGACAUGUUUCUGUUCUGAGCGAGGAAUGCCGUCACUGGCAUAGUCAGGGUGGG
rnacentral:sRNA from 1 species